CGGGGCCGCCCGGCAGGGAGGGACGGAGCGGGGCGGGGCCGGGCCGUGACGGGGACCGCGAGCUGCGUGUUAGCGAGCAGAAAUCCUGAAUGCACAGAAAUUACGAUACUCCUCGUUUGACUGUGAGGAGUGAGAGAGUCCAUGUUCUGAAAUCAGAGGAAAGACCACCCAAUCUUUCAGAGAGUAGGAGAAUGUCCUCAAUAAUUCUUCAGAAAAAUUAUACACUUUGUAAGUGCAAAGUUUAGCAUUUCCUUACAAUGGGUAGGGAUGUGAAAAUCCAUCUUAUCUUCCACACAUAAACCAAUAAGAUCUCACAGCCACAAUUAAGUGACUGUUUCUGUUGGUAAGGCCUCUGUCCCUGACAGCUUGAUGGCCUCCUCUGGACUGUGGUGUCAGUGCCUAUAUCAGACAGGCAUCAGGGAGCUUGAGCUGGUCCUAGCACUCACAGGUGGGUUCUUAACAGUGCAGAGUAAAAGGUGAGGUUCCUCACCCCAUUGGCUGCACUAAUGGUGACACAACCCUGAAUGUCCUUUGUCACAGGGUGCUCAGUUGGGGUCCUACUCAACCUAUUGGGACCAUAGCACCUCUUCCACCAAAUUGCUUUCAAGGCAGCACCCCAUGUCCUGCUGAAUUUGAGUUACUCCCUCCCAGACCCAGAACUAUCUUUGACCACCUGCAUUUGUCUUUGCUGAGUUUCCUGAGGGUUUUGUCCACCUUCCUGUAGGACCUCAGUCCCUACUGCUGAUGAACUCAACAACAUGAAGCUGGUCCUGGCACUGGGGAGCCACAGUGACCAUUUCUCCAUGGAAGCAUUUUUGGUAGUGUGGAUGUUUACUUGUUUUGGGAUAGACACAGCCCCGAGCAAGUAUCACACCAUGACUGUGGAAUAGUCAUCAGGUGUCAUCAGCACCCAUUAGCUCCUAAGCAAUUGUCAGUCUUUAACUAUGGCUUAAUGCUUCUGACUGACUUAAGGCUGUGUAAAGAUUUAUAAAUGCAGGAGUAGUUUGUUUUCACAUAAUUUUUCUUUACUGAUGUUAAAGCACUUUGUAAGUACUAUAAAGUCAAUCUUAUUCUUCUGGAGCAUUUUGUUAGUUGGGUAAUUAUUCCAGGAAGUGCUUUAUAUUUUAAAAUAUUACUUCUUGUCCUGAAAUUGUCAUCCCUAGAAGGAGAAAUUUUGUUGCACUGCCUUGUAAGGAGAGCCUGAAUUCAUUUCACUCAUGAAGAUAAUGGUAUAGUGUCGGAGUGUAUCUAUUUCUAAUUGACUUUAAAAUCAGAAUUGGUUCCUUUGAUUUAGGAUUUAGAAAAAUACCAGUAGGAAAAGAUAGAUUACUUCCUGUUAUCUGCAGAGGGAAUUAAUGAACCUUUCAGGUUGGCAAGAAACUAUUAUUAUUUCCAAGUAAUCUAAUUAAAGGGUAUAACAAAGACAUGCAGCUAUUUAAUUAUUUUAUUACCCAAUUGCUCUACAGUGCAUAAUCAGAGAAGUGUGAGGGAGUGAUUAGGUGUCUUGAGAACGGAAAUGACACAACCAAGAUGUGUAGAUCUUUUAAAGGACGGAGAAGCUGCUGGGAAAAUUGUGCUUCUCUUCCCCACACGCAAGACUGAAGAUUAUUUUUCCCUGGGAGUGAAGAACAUGACAAUGUAAAUGUGCUGGGGGGUUUUCAGAAGCAGAUAUAAGAUGCUGGUGCUGGGAAAGGUAAAACACACCAGGCUGUGCUUAACUGGUGGCUCUGUUCAGCUCUUGUCUCCACAGGGGCCUUGCAAGCAGGGUAAGCUGGGCCCAUGGGAGGCACCACAGCAGAUCUGUAGGGUGUCCACAGGCACCAAUUGGAUCCCAGUUACAGCUUUGCCCUCUGGAUGAUGCAUUGAGGAUGCAUGACGGGAGCAGAUGCUCACUGUCAGUGUGAGUUGGAUGCCUGCUUCUGCCAGGCUCUUUAAGAAGAGUUUUUGACAUGCAGAUGUUUGUAGACACAGAACUUUUUGUUUAGACCCAGGUUUAUUCCAGUCCCACCCUGAUCACAUCCCUCAUUUAUACAGUUGUGAAUUAUCUACAUCUGAAAGGCUGACUCAUCCUCUGAGUGGUUUGCCUCCUUGCAAAUUACUCUGGUAUAAAUCAGCUUGUAUUUCAGUUCAGAACAGGUGCUGAUAAAAAUCCAUGUAAUGUCAAAAAUAAUACAAAGGGGGGAGAUAUGAUUUAAAUACCUGGAGUUUGAUCCAAAGCCAAAUAGAGCUAAUGAACUGGUUUCCAUUAAUAACUCUUUAAUAGUCUUUAUCGGCUUUAGGGGUCUGUACCUUCCUUACCUUCUGUAGCACCUUGUAAUAGGAUACCUGAAUGUCCUUCACUAAAAAUUAAAACCCCAUGCAA